ensembl:lncRNA
GUUUUUUUUCUUACACUUGAAAUUCAUAACUCCUAAUGGGCAAUCCAGCUGAAUUAUAUUUCCAUAUGGUUAAAGAAAAAAUGACCAGUCAUUGAGAAAGAUAAAGACAUUUUCCAGUCAACCAUUAACAUCAGAACACAUACACCUUGUUUUAUUUGGCAAUUGGCCUCUGCUUUUUCAACUCCAACGCAAUGCUAACUUAAUAAUACAGAAGACAGUUCACUGACAGGGAGACCAUUCUGCCCCACCAGAACAGCGACACAAUUUAAAAUCGUUUCAAUUCUCAGUCAAGAAAGCCAGAAAUCCCUUUGGUCGUUGGAGGAAAUGGUUUCUGGAUCCUCCCUGGUAAAAUACAGGAAUUCACCCUCCCAUCAUGCAGCAGGUACGUCAGAGUUCAGCUUCUGUGGCAGUUUCCUCUGAGAACAUUUGCAAAGAGAGAUGCUCCCUGCGUACUCUCACAGUCUGGAGCAGAAAAGGGAUUGUGAUAAACUCCAGAAGAUGGGAUUCUUCAUAGUUGUCCUCAGUGUCUUUCCUCCUCUAAUUUGACAAAAUCAGGACUCACAUUUCAGGCUUCUUGCCUCCCCAAGCUGCAGCCACACCAGUAACUUUGUGCAAGCGCAGGUCUCAGUCACAGCCUUGAGCACGUGCAUGGUCUUGAAUGUGAUCACAGAUACAGACAGUUAACGAAUCAACACUCCUGCAUCAAUGGAUUCCUCUCUGGCUGGUAAAUAAAUCACAUUUGCUUUAUUUAAUUCUGUCUUCAAAAUUGUGCUCAAGACUUCCUUCCACCAUGAAGCUUGAAUUCAUCACUCACAUCCAAUUAUCCAAUAAAUUCAGCUCUUCACCAUUCCCAUUGUUCCCCAUUAUAACCUUUUUAGCCCUGAGAGUAUCCAUAGACCCCUUUAAAAAUGUGUGUGUGCACAUAUGUGUGCAUGCGUGCAUGCACAUGUGUGUGAGUGUGCAUAUGAGUGCAUGUGUGUGUGUGUGUGUGUUUCUGCUACCUCUAUUUGAAAACACAGGUAGCCACUGCACGGCCAUAUUAAUAUAUGUUGAUGGAUAAGUUUUAAAGCACAGAUAAUGCUCAUGUUUGCACAGGUGCAUACACUCACCAUCGCUGGAAGCUACCUAAGAACAAUUGUGAAGAUCUGAAAGCUGACAGACAGGUCAAUGAUUUUCACAGUCCAAGUUGAAGCAGAACAGCCAGGAGAGAGGAAGGGCUCUGGGUCACAGCUACCGGGAAAAUCCAGAAGCUUUUGGCAGCUGCCUUGCACCCUCCCAUCUUCAAGCUCUGGGCAGCGGUCGUUCCCUGGUGUCUGGAUCUGGGCACUGGCAUCAGAGUGAGAGGAAGCUUGAUACAGGCUCUUUGUCUCUAGUUUAACAAAGCACAGAGAUAGGACAUAAACUCAUGUCCACACGCUCCAGGAAAGCAUGCGUGUCCACGGCCGUUCUCAGAGAAAAUGAGAGAGCCCAGAGUCCUCAAGAAAACCUCUAAACAAUUCACUCUCACACGGCUGAUAAGACCAGGCAGUAAUCAUCAGUGAGCCGUGCAAUGCAAUAGAAAGAAAAAAAGUGCAACACCAAAUCUUACUCCCAGUCUGUCUUCCAACUCGUCCUCUGACCUUGCCUUGACCUUCCACCAUCUGCACUGCUGUUUGGUCCUCCCAAGAUCACAGCUCCCUCUGGCCCCUCCCAGGACCUCCAGCCUGGCUUUUCUUUGGUUCUUCAGCUCCAGAGAAGAUUGGGUCACAGGGUCCCAAGACUGAAGAUAACUCUCUUUCCUGAAUCUCAAGGCGUUAAAGCGUUAAUCACAAACUCCAAUGUCUACACUAGCCAGGAAGUACCUAAAUGAGUGAAGGAGUGUCACUGUAGACUUCCACCUGGGAAGCAUACACCCGGACUAAACAGUGGUCGCCACACGGGAAUGCCGUAUCUGCCAGACCGUCCAACUUUCCAAAGGAAGG